GAUUUUUUCUGUUUUAUUUCACCAGUAGGGGCCCCAUAUACAUUCAAGAACUGCAAAUGACAGUGGUUUCCUAAUGCUUUAACAAAGGUUGCUUUAACAAAAUUAACCCUUUUUCCUACCUUGACAGCCAUUCUGUGCUUAAAAGCGAGCAUGUGGAUUUAAACUUGUUGGUACAGAAAGUCAGUGGGACUCAUGACAUAUUUGUGGACAUUUUGUGAUACUCAUUGUUAUUAAAAUGCGGUUGCAUUUUAGACCCUAUUUUCCCUCAAAAUGGAAAACUUUUUGACACUUUCUUUAAAUAGAAUCACAAUUCCUGCCAUUUGAAAUGUAGGGGG